rnacentral:lncRNA from 1 species
GGUGGAGGCGGGAAGGGAGGGGAGGGCCGGGGGCGAGCAGACGGAGUGCGGCCGCGCCGAUGUGAUGAGUCACGCGAAGGCAGCCAGACGCGUAGGUUCCUCACAGGAACCCGGAGGAAACAUGAGAGUUUGUACUGCAUCAUCCAUGAGUCACAGCCCUCAGGAGAACGCGUUUCAGUGCAAGUACCCGAAAUAACAGUUUUAAGUUCAUUAUUAGGUGUUAUUCAGUAGUAAUUCGGAGACAGUUGGAGUUCCCAAGAAACUGUGAUCUAAAUAAUCUUCAAGGAAUAUGGUGUUAAUUCUAAAAAGUCUGAUUACAACCAUUUCCUAGGAAGCGCGAGCAGCACCAACAAGAUGUAUGAUUAGGCUUCAUGUUGUAUGACAAAAAGCAAUUAAGCUAUCCAAGAAAGAUUUUAAAAGCAUUGAAGGCUUUUUCUAAUUUAUUUAUUUAUUUCGUUAAUUGGGUAUUUCUGAAUUGUUUAAAACUCAGGAGUAUCUGAGAGUAAUACCUACUCUGUGUCACGUUGAAAUGUUAGUUACCAGAUGUCCUUGAUUCAUCUUGGCAGUCCCAUGUGCUUUUCGUCAUUUGUCGGAUUGCAAAGGACACUAAUUAAAAUGAAAUGGAGUAGAACUUUGUACUCGGGAUACUUUGUCAAGUUUUGGCACCAUGGUCAUGUUAGUAUUGUUUUGUUCUGGUAUUAAGUCAAGAAGUUCUGGCCCUGAGCCAUGCCGACAUUUGUUUCUGGGAGGGAAGGUGAAAAACCAUUCUUAUUAACCUGCAGUGUGGAACAUAUGGUAACUGUGGGUGGUAGGGCUAAGUUAGGCAGCCAGGAGCCUGCUCUCACUUCGCUGUGCAGAGUCUGGGGUGGGCAAUUGCCACAGAAGGUAGCCACAGUGCUCCGUGCUGCUGUCCAGAAAAGGAAGCUCUGCAUGCAACGUAUUAUCAAGUAAAGCUCUAAUCUGUGAGAGGUGUGUUUGGUACCAUUAUAGAAUGCUUUUAGUGUUUAGUAACUCUGAAAGCUAAAAUUAGAAUGCCUGCCUGCACUCUGGGUUGCUGGGUAGCAGCAGCAUGAAUGGUUC